AUUGAACGCUGGCGGCAUGCCUUACACAUGCAAGUCGAACGGUAACAGGGUGCUUGCACCGCUGACGAGUGGCGAACGGGUGAGUAAUGCGUCGGAACGUGCCGAGUAGUGGGGGAUAACGCAGCGAAAGUUGUGCUAAUACCGCAUACGUACUGAGGUAGAAAGGGGGGGACCUUCGGGCCUCACGCUAUUCGAGGGGCCGACGUCUGAUUAGCUAGUAGGUUAGGUAAGAGCUUACCUAGGCGACGAUCAGUAGCGGGUUGCUGAGAGGAUGAUCCGCCACACUGGGACUGAGACACGGCCCAGACUCCUACGGGAGGCAGCAGUGGGGAAUUUUGGACAAUGGGCGCAAGCCUGAUCCAGCCAUGCCGCGUGUCUGAAGAAGGCCUUCGGGUUGUAAAGGACUUUUGUCAGGGAGGAAAUCCUAGUGGCUAAUAACUGCUGGGGAUGACAGUACCUGAAGAAUAAGCACCGGCUAACUACGUGCCAGCAGCCGCGGUAACAC
rnacentral:rRNA from 1 species